rnacentral:lncRNA from 1 species
CUAAUUAGACCCUAGAACAUGUUUGGGAGUGUUUUUGAGCAUUCGGUUCCGGCACGAAAAACGAUGCAAAACGGGUGCAUUUCGGCACCCGAAUGCACUAUUGCCGGGUAGCGAAACUCGGGUGGAUUUUUUCGCAACGAACGCAUGCAAUCUACCUAAUUAGACCCUAGAACAUGUUUGGGAGUGUUUUUGGGCAUUCGGUUCCGGCACGAAAAAUGAUGCAAAACGGGUGCAUUUCGGCACCCGAAUGCACUAUUGCCGGGUAGCGAAACUCGGGUGGAUUUUUUCACAACGAACGCAUGCAAUCUUCCUAAAUAUACCCUAGAACAUGUUUGGGAGUGUUUUUGGGCAUUCGGUUCCGGCACGAAAAAUGAUGCAAAACGGGUGCAUUUCGGCACCCGAAUGCACUAUUGCCGGGUAGCGAAACUCGGGUGGAUUUUUUCGCAACGAACGCAUGCAAUCUUCCUAAAUAUACACUAGAACAUGUUUGGGAGUAUUUUUGGGCAUUCGGUUCCGGCACGAAAAAUGAUGCAAAACGGGUGCAUUUCGGCACUCGAAUGCACUAUUGCCGGGUAGCGAAACUCGGGUGGAUUUUUUUCGCAACGAACGCAUCCAAUCUACCUAAUUAGACCCUAGAACAUGUUUGGGAGUGUUUUUGGGCAUUCGGUUUCGGCACGAAAAACGAUGCAAAACGGGUGCAUUUCGGCACCCGAAUGCACUAUUGCCGGGUAGCGAAACUCGGGUGGAUUUUUUCGCAACGAACGCAUGCAAUUUUCCGAAAUAUACACUAGAACAUGUUUGGGAGUGUUUUUGGGCAUUCGGUUCCGGCACGAAAAAUGAUGCAAAACGGGUGCAUUUCAGCACCCGAAUGCACUAUUGCCGGGUAGCGAAACUCGGGUGGAUUUUUUCGCAACGAACGCAUGCAAUCUUCCUAACUAUACACUAGAACAUGUUUGGGAGUGUUUUUGAGCAUUCGGUUCCGGCACGAAAAACGAUGCAAAACGGGUGCAUUUCGGCACCCGAAUGCACUAUUUCCGGGUAGCGAAACUCGGGUGGAUUUUUUCGCAACGAACGCAUGCAAUCUUCCUAACUAUACACUAGAACAUGUUUGGGACUGUUUUUGAGCAUUCGGUUCCGGCACGAAAAACGAUGCAAAACGGGUGCAUUUCGGCACCCGAAAGCACUAUUUCCGGGUAGCGAAACUCGGGUGGAUUUUUUCGCAACGAACGCAUGCAAUCUUCCUAACUAUACACUAAAACAUGUUUGGGACUGUUUUUGAGCAUUCGGUUCCGGCACGAAAAACGAUGCAAAACGGGUGCAUUUCGGCACGCGAAUGCACUAUUUCCGGGUAGCGAAACUCGGGUGGAUUUUUUCGCAACGAACGCAUGCAAUCUUCCUAACUAUACACUAGAACAUGUUUGGGAGUGUUUUUGAGCAUUCGGUUCCGGCACGAAAAACGAUGCAAAACGGGUGCAUUUCGGCACCCGAAUGCACUAUUUCCGGGUAGCGAAACUCGGGUGGAUUUUUUCGCAACGAACGCAUGCAAUCUUCCUAACUAUACACUAGAACAUGUUUGGGACUGUUUUUGAGCAUUCGGUUCCGGCACGAAAAACGAUGCAAAACGGGUGCAUUUCGGCACAAGAAAGCACUAUUUCCGGGUAGCGAAACUCGGGUGGAUUUUUUCGCAACGAACGCAUGCAUUCUUCCUAAAUAUACACUAGAACAUGUUUGGGAGUGUUUUUGGGCAUUCUGUUCCGGCACGAAAAAUGAUGCAAAACGGGUGCAUUUCGGCACCCGAAUGCACUAUUGCCGGGUAGCGAAACUCGGGUGGAUUUUUUCACAACGAAUGCAUGCAAUCUUUACUAAAUAUACCCUAGAACAUGUUUGGGAGUGUUUUUGGGCAUUCGGUUCCGGCACGAAAAAUGAUGCAAAACGGGUGCAUUUCGGCACCCGAAUACACUAUUGCCGGGUAGCGAAACUCGGGUGGAUUUUUUCGCAACGAACGCAUGCAAUCUUUCGAAAUAUACACUAGAACAUGUUUGGGAGUAUUUUUGGGCAUUCGGUUCCGGCACGAAAAAUGAUGCAAAACGGGUGCAUUUCGGCACCCGAAUGCACUAUUGCCGGGUAGCGAAACUCGGGUGGAUUUUUUUCGCAACGAACGCAUCCAAUCUACCUAAUUAGACCCUAGAACAUGUUUGGGAGUGUUUUUGGGCAUUCGGUUCCGGCACGAAAAACGAUGCAAAACGGGUGCAUUUCGGCACCCGAAUGCACUAUUGCCGGGUAGCGAAACUCGGGUGGAUUUUUUCGCAACGAACGCAUGCAAUUUUCCGAAAUAUACACUAGAACAUGUUUGGGAGUGUUUUUGGGCAUUCGGUUCCGGCACGAAAAAUGAUGCAAAACGGGUGCAUUUCAGCACCCGAAUGCACUAUUGCCGGGUAGCGAAACUCGGGUGGAUUUUUUCGCAACGAACGCAUGCAAUCUUCCUAACUAUACACUAGAACAUGUUUGGGAGUGUUUUUGAGCAUUCGGUUCCGGCACGAAAAACGAUGCAAAACGGGUGCAUUUCGGCACCCGAAUGCACUAUUUCCGGGUAGCGAAACUCGGGUGGAUUUUUUCGCAACGAACGCAUGCAAUCUUCCUAACUAUACACUAGAACAUGUUUGGGACUGUUUUUGAGCAUUCGGUUCCGGCACGAAAAACGAUGCAAAACGGGUGCAUUUCGGCACCCGAAAGCACUAUUUCCGGGUAGCGAAACUCGGGUGGAUUUUUUCGCAACGAACGCAUGCAAUCUUCCUAACUAUACACUAAAACAUGUUUGGGACUGUUUUUGAGCAUUCGGUUCCGGCACGAAAAACGAUGCAAAACGGGUGCAUUUCGGCACGCGAAUGCACUAUUUCCGGGUAGCGAAACUCGGGUGGAUUUUUUCGCAACGAACGCAUGCAAUCUUCCUAACUAUACACUAGAACAUGUUUGGGAGUGUUUUUGAGCAUUCGGUUCCGGCACGAAAAACGAUGCAAAACGGGUGCAUUUCGGCACCCGAAUGCACUAUUUCCGGGUAGCGAAACUCGGGUGGAUUUUUUCGCAACGAACGCAUGCAAUCUUCCUAACUAUACACUAGAACAUGUUUGGGACUGUUUUUGAGCAUUCGGUUCCGGCACGAAAAACGAUGCAAAACGGGUGCAUUUCGGCACAAGAAAGCACUAUUUCCGGGUAGCGAAACUCGGGUGGAUUUUUUCGCAACGAACGCAUGCAUUCUUCCUAAAUAUACACUAGAACAUGUUUGGGAGUGUUUUUGGGCAUUCUGUUCCGGCACGAAAAAUGAUGCAAAACGGGUGCAUUUCGGCACCCGAAUGCACUAUUGCCGGGUAGCGAAACUCGGGUGGAUUUUUUCACAACGAAUGCAUGCAAUCUUUACUAAAUAUACCCUAGAACAUGUUUGGGAGUGUUUUUGGGCAUUCGGUUCCGGCACGAAAAAUGAUGCAAAACGGGUGCAUUUCGGCACCCGAAUACACUAUUGCCGGGUAGCGAAACUCGGGUGGAUUUUUUCGCAACGAACGCAUGCAAUCUUUCGAAAUAUACACUAGAACAUGUUUGGGAGUAUUUUUGGGCAUUCGGUUCCGGCACGAAAAAUGAUGCAAAACGGGUGCAUUUCGGCACCCGAAUGCACUAUUGCCGGGUAGCGAAACUCGGGUGGAUUUUUUUCGCAACGAACGCAUCCAAUCUACCUAAUUAGACCCUAGAACAUGUUUGGGAGUGUUUUUGGGCAUUCGGUUCCGGCACGAAAAACGAUGCAAAACGGGUGCAUUUCGGCACCCGAAUGCACUAUUGCCGGGUAGCGAAACUCGGGUGGAUUUUUUCGCAACGAACGCAUGCAAUUUUCCGAAAUAUACACUAGAACAUGUUUGGGAGUGUUUUUGGGCAUUCGGUUCCGGCACGAAAAAUGAUGCAAAACGGGUGCAUUUCAGCACCCGAAUGCACUAUUGCCGGGUAGCGAAACUCGGGUGGAUUUUUUCGCAACGAACGCAUGCAAUCUUCCUAACUAUACACUAGAACAUGUUUGGGAGUGUUUUUGGGCAUUCGGUUCCGGCACGAAAAAUGAUGCAAAACGGGUGCAUUUCAGCACCCGAAUGCACUAUUGCCGGGUAGCGAAACUCGGGUGGAUUUUUUCGCAACGAACGCAUGCAAUCUUCCUAACUAUACACUAGAACAUGUUUGGGAGUGUUUUUGAGCAUUCGGUUCCGGCACGAAAAACGAUGCAAAACGGGUGCAUUUCGGCACCCGAAUGCACUAUUUCCGGGUAGCGAAACUCGGGUGGAUUUUUUCGCAACGAACGCAUGCAAUCUUCCUAACUAUACACUAGAACAUGUUUGGGACUGUUUUUGAGCAUUCGGUUCCGGCACGAAAAACGAUGCAAAACGGGUGCAUUUCGGCACCCGAAAGCACUAUUUCCGGGUAGCGAAACUCGGGUGGAUUUUUUCGCAACGAACGCAUGCAAUCUUCCUAACUAUACACUAAAACAUGUUUGGGACUGUUUUUGAGCAUUCGGUUCCGGCACGAAAAACGAUGCAAAACGGGUGCAUUUCGGCACGCGAAUGCACUAUUUCCGGGUAGCGAAACUCGGGUGGAUUUUUUCGCAACGAACGCAUGCAAUCUUCCUAACUAUACACUAGAACAUGUUUGGGAGUGUUUUUGAGCAUUCGGUUCCGGCACGAAAAACGAUGCAAAACGGGUGCAUUUCGGCACCCGAAUG